GACGAACGCUGGCGGCGUGCUUAACACAUGCAAGUCGAACGGAAAGGCCCUGCUUGCCGGGUACUCGAGUGGCGAACGGGUGAGUAACACGUGGGUGAUCUGCCCUGCACUUCGGGAUAAGCCUGGGAAACUGGGUCUAAUACCGGAUAGGAGCCAUUUUUAGUGUGAUGGUUGGAAAGUUUUUUCGGUGUAGGAUGAGCUCGCGGCCUAUCAGCUUGUUGGUGGGGUAAUGGCCUACCAAGGCGGCGACGGGUAGCCGGCCUGAGAGGGUGGACGGCCACAUUGGGACUGAGAUACGGCCCAGACUCCUACGGGAGGCAGCAGUGGGGAAGAUUGCACAAUGGGCGCAAGCCUGAUGCAGCGACGCCGCGUGGGGGAUGACGGCCUUCGGGUUGUAAACUCCUUUCGCUAGGGACGAAGCUUUUUGUGACGGUACCUAGAGAAGAAGCACCGGCUAACUACGUG
rnacentral:rRNA from 1 species